GAUGAACGCUGACAGAAUGCUUAACACAUGCAAGUCUACUUGAUUCUACUUCGGUAGUUGAUGGUGGCGGACGGGUGAGUAACGCGUAAAGAAUCUGCCCUUUAGUUUGGGAUAACCUUUGGAAACGAAGGCUAAUACCGGAUAUUAUGGAGACGUCGCAUGACGACUCCAUGAAAGCUAUAUGCGCUAGAGGGGGACUUUGCGUCCCAUUAGUUAGUGGGUGAGGUAAUGGCUCACCAAGACCGCGAUGGGUAGCCGGCCUGAGAGGGUGAUCGGCCACAAGGGAACUGAGACACGGUCCUUACUCCUACGGGAGGCAGCAGUGGGGAAUAUUGGACAAUGGGCCACAAGCCUGAUCCAGCAAUUCUGUGUGAACGAUGAAGGUCUUCGGAUUGUAAAGUGCUUUCAGUAGGGAAGAAAAAAAUGACGGUACCUACAGAAGAAGCGACGGCUAAAUAUGUGCCAGCCGCCGCCGUAA
rnacentral:rRNA from 1 species